rnacentral:rRNA from 1 species
AUGAACGCUGGCGGCGUGCCUAAUACAUGCAAGUCGAGCGAACAGACGAGGAGCUUGCUCCUCUGACGUUAGCGGCGGACGGGUGAGUAACACGUGGAUAACCUACCUAUAAGACUGGGAUAACUUCGGGAAGCCGGAGCUAAUACCGGAUAAUAUAUUGAACCGCGUGGUUCAAUAGUGAAAGACGGUUUUGCUGUCACUUAUAGAUGGAUCCGCGCCGCAUUAGCUAGUUGGUAAGGUAACGGCUUACCAAGGCGACGAUGCGUAGCCGACCUGAGAGGGUGAUCGGCCACACUGGAACUGAGACACGGUCCAGACUCCUACGGGAGGCAGCAGUAGGGAAUCUUCCGCAAUGGGCGAAAGCCUGACGGAGCAACGCCGCGUGAGUGAUGAAGGUCUUCGGAUCGUAAAACUCUGUUAUUAGGGAAGAACAAAUGUGUAAGUAACUAUGCACGUCUUGACGGUACCUAAUCAGAAAGCCACGGCUAACUACGUG